rnacentral:rRNA from 1 species
AACGCUGGCGGCGUGCCUAACACAUGCAAGUUGAGCGGUAAGGCCCCUUCGGGGGUACACGAGCAGCGAACGGGUGAGUAUCGCGUGGGUAACCUACCCAGAGGUGGAGGAUAGCCCCGGGAAACCGGGGGUAAUACUGCAUAUGUCCUCGAUGACACAAGUCGACGAGGGCAAAGGCGGGGCUUCUUCGGAACCUGUCGCCUUUGGAUGGGCCCGCGUCCGAUUAGCUUGUUGGUGGGGUAAUGGCCCACCAAGGCUGCGAUCGGUAGCCGGCCUGAGAGGGUGAACGGCCACAUUGGGACUGAGACACGGCCCAGACUCCUACGGGAGGCAGCAGUGGGGAAUUUUGGGCAAUGGGGGAAACCCUGACCCAGCGACGCCGCGUGGAGGAUGACGGCCUUCGGGUUGUAAACUCCUGUCAGUGGGAAGAAAGCCAGUCGGAUAAUACCCGACUGGAAUUGACNGUACCACCAAA